UGUGGGGGGUGGGGGCUGUUCUGCUUUUUGAGGCCCAGCUGAAAUCAGCACCUGGAGUGCAGGAGGUGCAAUCAGUGCUGCAGUAGAAGGCUCUGAGCUUUGGGUUUUUCUGGCUGGCUGCUUACUUCUGCAAGAGACAAGCACUGCUUCCCUGCAGGGUACAGCUGUCAGCAUGGGAGUGCAAGUCAGUAAGGAGCCCUUCGUUGUGGUUUACAAAAAGACAAACAAGCGAGUGCAGAAAGAAGCUCCAGAGGCUGCUGCAACACAUCCUUCAAAGCCUGAGGACUCCCAGGAUACUGCCAAAGAGCCGGCUAAGGGAACCGGUCAGCACUGCCAGGAUUCUCCAGAUGCAAGAAAAAGACUGUAGAAGUCAUCAAGAGCAAGUCCUCUGUGUAGGAAGGAGGGAACUGCAUAUAACAUCUGUCCUUCCAUACACUGCAUCAUGGACUCAUGUCUUUAAUUGGAAAGGGGCAUCUUCUCCCCCUGCUGGAUGAUCUCCUGUGUCUUGAGAUACCUCCUCCUAGCAGAUGCAUAUUUUAUAACCAGAACAACUCUGGGCCAUGUAUAUAUGAAAUAUAACACCCUUAUAGGAAAUUGUUACCCAGCUAGAAGCUGUCUGUUAUGAUCUGGAGACACACUGAGUUUAAAAUGAGUACUUCAUGUAGCAUCAGUGAGAUUCCUGAAUGCAUUCAGCCCUGUACUACCUUGUAGUGCUUGUUCAUGACACAGAUAGUUCUAAUGCUCCUGCAACUUUAACACAAAUGAAGUUAUUGGAAAGAUGCAGAAAGUCUCAGUAAAAUGAAGACAAAUGUAAAAUAAAGAAACCUGAGCUCUGUAAUUGGUGUUCUGUAACCUGAGUGUUUAUAACCUGGAUGUCAUCAAGUUCUCACUGAUGUAAUAUUUUGGUUAUGUUCUAACUGGACUUAAAGUAUCUCUCUGGGUUAAGAGUUGUGCUGGGGCAAAAAGACCUCAUCCUAAAAGCAGAGGUAGUAGUAGCUCUCCUGCAGUUACUUUGCUCUGAGGCUGUAGUGACAGAACAAAGUCCUUGGCCAUAGCUGUAAUAAGGUGGAAAUGCCUUGCUCUCUAAUUGAGGUUCAGCCUGUUCUGAAUUUCGCACUU